rnacentral:rRNA from 1 species
AUUGAACGCUGGCGGCGUGCCUUACACAUGCAAGUCGAACGGUAACGCGGGGGCAACCCUGGCGACGAGUGGCGAACGGGUGAGUAAUACAUCGGAACGUACCAGGUGUGGGGGAUAGGCCGGCCAAAGGCGGAUUAAAUACGCAAUAGCCAUAAGGUGGGAAACGGGGGGACGGAAGGGCUCGCGCGACUGGAGCGGCCCAUGGCAGAUUAGCUAGUUGGUGGGGUAAAAGCCUACCAAGGCGACGAUCUGUAGCUGGUCUGUGAGGACGACCAGCCACACUGGGACUGAGACACGGCCCAGACUCCUACGGGAGGCAGCAGUGGGGAAUUUUGGACAAUGGGGGAAACCCUGAUCCAGCGAUGCCGCGUGUGUGAAGAAGGCCUUCGGGUUGUAAAGCACUUUUGUCCGGAAAGAAAUCCGUCGGGCUAAUACCCUGACGGGAUGACGGUACCGGAAGAAUAAGCACCGGCUAACUACGUGCCAGCAGCCGCGGUAA